rnacentral:rRNA from 1 species
UACGAAGGGGGCUAGCGUUGCUCGGAAUCACUGGGCGUAAAGGGUGCGUAGGCGGGUCUUUAAGUCAGGGGUGAAAUCCUGGAGCUCAACUCCAGAACUGCCUUUGAUACUGAGGAUCUUGAGUUCGGGAGAGGUGAGUGGAACUGCGAGUGUAGAGGUGAAAUUCGUAGAUAUUCGCAAGAACACCAGUGGCGAAGGCGGCUCACUGGCCCGAUACUGACGCUGAGGCACGAAAGCGUGGGGGAGACAA